GCAAAGCUUCUCCCAAAAUCUCAGCAACCUGAGCCUGCAACCAACGCCCAACCCCAACGGAACGGAAAAUAAAUCCUCAUUGGCUGAUUUCUGUUGGCUUUUUGCUGCUAACACUAGCCACUCCAGCCGCUAAGCCGACUUCUAGCCUUCAAUUUCAAAGGCGUAAAGCUCCAAGACUCACAAACUUCCAUUACUAUCGUGUGGACCUCUAUUUUCAAGUCCUUGAUACACAAUUAAAGGAAUUGAAUGAUCGCUUCAAUGAGGUAAACACCGAGUUGCUUCUUUGUAUGGCAUGUUUGAGUCCGGUGAAUAAUUUUGCAUCUUUUGACAAAGCAAAAAUUGUUCGUCUAGCUCAACUUUAUCCUCAAGAUUUUGAUCGUAUAGACCUCAUGAAUCUUCCAAUUCAACUUGACAAUUACAUUCACGAUAUGAAGAUGCAUAGUGAGUUUUCAUCAUUGAGAGGAAUUGGUGAUCUUGCAAAGGAGUUGGUGAAGACUGGGCGGUGUGCAAGCUACAUAUUAGUGUAUAAGCUUCUUACAUUAGCUUUGGUGUUACCGGUUGCAACCGCUUCGGUGGAGAGAGUUUUUUCUGCUAUGAAGAUUGUGAAAACACCAUUGCGUAACAAAAUGGGAGAUCAAUGGUUGAGUGAUAGCAUGCUUGUUUACAUAGAGAGAGAUGUAUUUGCUUUUAUUGAUAAUGAGCCUAUUAUGCGACGUUUUCAUGGUAUGAAACGUCGUCGGCAACAAUUGUAAUUUGUUUAUGUUGAUAAAUUAUGGAAGACAUUACUAUAUAAAAUGAUUUGGUUGUUGCUAUUCUUUUGAA